rnacentral:misc_RNA from 1 species
GCUGAAAUGUACCAAUCUUAUGAAGAAACAAAUUUAUGGAAAUUUGUUGAAAAUUUGCCUCAAGGUGUUCAUGUCAAUUUCCUAAAGGCAGAGAGGAGUUUGCACAGGUGGGCCCUUGAAGAUCUGCAGCGAAUUCAUGCUGCUGAGGAUCUGGCUGCUGAGGAGGGAGGUGGAGUUGAAAUGCAUGUCCUUGAAGAUGCUGGCCAUUGGGUACAUGCUGAUAACCCAGAUGGGCUUUUCAGGAUUCUUUCGUCUUCUUUCCAGGGGUUCAAAGCCUGAAGGUGUUGCAUUGAAUCACUGCUUAUAC